AUUUUCCGAACUACGUGAAGUUAUAGUUGAAGGAGACAUGAAUUCUUUUAUAAUAUAAAAUAACAUAAAAAGCACCUUCGUUUGGCCCAAAUAAGUCCUCAAAGGAAACAUCUUUAACGGGGCUAAGGAGAGAGUUUGAAGAGAGUUUAGAAGAACUGUUAAUAAAAAAAAAUUUGGUGACCAGCCAAUAACUGGAGAGUCCAAAGACGGCGCUCCUCUUUUCAGUUCAACUUCAGAGACCUGAAUUGUCGU